AACGAACGCUGGCGGCGUGGAUAAGACAUGCAAGUCGAACGGGACAGGUAGCAAUAUCUGUCUAAUGGCGAACGGGUGCGUAACACGUGGGCAACAUGCCUGGAAGAGCGGGAUAGCCCGGGGAAACUCGGAUUAAUACCGCAUGUGACAACGGGGCGGCUUCGCCCUGUUUUCAAAGGUGGGGACCGCAAGGCCUGCCGCUUCCAGAUUGGCCCGCGUCCUAUCAGCUAGUUGGCGGGGUAAAAGCCCACCAAGGCGACGACGGGUAGCUGGUCUGAGAGGACGACCAGCCACACUGGAACUGAGACACAGUCCAGACACCUACGGGUGGCAGCAGUCGAGAAUCUUUCACAAUGGGGGAAACCCUGAUGGAGCGACGCCGCGUGGAGGAUGACGGUCUUCGGAUUGUAAACUCCUGUCAUGAAAGAACAAGCGGAGCGGGUGAACAGCCCGCCGAGUUGAUAGUAUUUCAAGAGGAAGGGACGGCUAACUUCGUGCCAGCCGCCGCUGUAAGAC
rnacentral:rRNA from 1 species